AAAUCUCGUGUGGAACAAA
rnacentral:snRNA from 1 species